rnacentral:rRNA from 1 species
GACGAACGCUGGCGGCGUGCCUAAUACAUGCAAGUUGAGCGCUGAAGGUUGGUACUUGUCCCAACUGGCUGAGCAGCGAACGGGUGAGUAACGCGUGGGGAAUCUGCCUUUGAGCGGGGGACAACAUUUGGAAACGAAUGCUAAUACCGCAUAAAAACUUUAAACACAAGUUUUAAGUUUGAAAGAUGCAAUUGCAUCACUCAAAGAUGAUCCCGCGUUGUAUUAGCUAGUUGGUGAGGUAAAGGCUCACCAAGGCGAUGAUACAUAGCCGACCUGAGAGGGUGAUCGGCCACAUUGGGACUGAGACACGGCCCAAACUCCUACGGGAGGCAGCAGUAGGGAAUCUUCGGCAAGAGACGAAAGUCUGACCGAGCAACGCCGCGUGAGUGAAGAAGGUUUUCGGAUCGUAAAACUCUGUUGGUAGAGAAGAACGUUGGUGAGAGUGGAAAGCUCAUCAAGUGACGGUAACUACCCAGAAAGGGACGGCUAACUACGUG